rnacentral:RNase_P_RNA from 1 species
GGAGUCGGCCGGGCGGCCGUGGCGGAGGCCUCGAGCCCCCGUCGAGGAAAGUCCGGACUCCACAGGGCAGGGUGCUGGGUAACGCCCAGGCGGGGUGACCCGCGGAAAGUGCCACAGAAAACGACCGCCGCGCCGGAGGAGUCGGUACCGAUCCUUCCGGAGGAAGCGGUAAGGGUGAAACGGUGAGGUAAGAGCUCACCAGCGGCCGGGUGACCGGCCGGCUCGGCAAACCCCACCCGGAGCAAGGCCAAGCAGGGAGCGGGCGGCCCGUCCGAAGCUCCCGGGUAGGCUGCACGAGGGUCGCGGCGACGCGGCUCCCAGAGGGAUGGUCGCCACCCGCGGGCACCGGUUCGACCGGUACGCCGGCGGGAACAGAAUCCGGCUUACAGGCCGGCUCCUCCA